GUGUUAUAUGAAAAAAGAGGCUAGCAGUCCCCUUGACAAGGGUGGAAGAGGCCCUCAGGCCCAACAACACAUGUGCAGUUAAGGCAUUGCCAUCUAUUUGGUGGCAUCUAACCAUCUUAA